rnacentral:rRNA from 1 species
UACGCAGGCGGAAAAUUAAGUCAGUGGUGAAAUCCUGCAGCUUAGCUGUAGAACUGUCAUUGAUACUGGUUUUCUUGAAUAUAGUUGAGGUAGGCGGAAUGUGUAAUGUAGCGGUGAAAUGCUUAGAUAUUACACAGAACACCGAUUGCGAAGGCAGCUUACUAAGCUAUGAUUGACGCUGAGGCACGAAAGCGUGGGGAGCGAACAGGAUUAGAUACCCUGGUAGUCC